UACAGAGGGUGCCAGCGUUAUUCGGAAUUAUUGGGCGUAAAGGGCGCGUAGGCGGCCAUGCGUGUCUUCCGUGAAAUCCCUCGGCUUAACUGAGGACGUGCGGAAGAAACUGCAAGGCUCGAGUCCGGGAGAGGGGGGUGGAAUUCCCAGUGUAGCGGUGAAAUGCGUAGAUAUUGGGAGGAACACCGGUGGCGAAGGCGGCUUCCUGGACCGAUUACUGACGCUGAGGCGCGAAAGCUAGGGGAGCAAACGGG
rnacentral:rRNA from 1 species